UCCCGUCGCCUGUCGCCUUCGGGAAGCAGCCGCGGGUGGCAGCGGGCGAUGGGCGCGGGUGGGAGGGAGGGAGCGGCCACCACCCCCGCCCGCCCCUCUGCCCCCGGGCUGGGGGCGAUAGCGCCGUGCCCACCUCGCGGCCACCCGGGAUGCGCCGCGGGCGAGCCCCGCUGCCCCGGGGGAAGUUGAAGGCUGGGCCCCCACGGGCCGCUCGGCCGGCUGCGAGGGGGCGGGUGGCGCCGGGCGCCCGAGGAGGAGCCCGAGCAUCCCGGCGCCGGGGACAGCCGGAGAACGGGCGGCGAGGCUUCAUGGGCUGCUCACGCCAACAUGGUGCUCGCCCUCAACGGCAGCCACCUCUACGGUAACCUGCGGCCCCUGGUCCUGGAGGAGCCGCGGGCGCUGAGCGGCGGCAGGAUGAUCGCCGGCUCCUGGCCCCCGCGCAGCCUGGCGAAGCUCGGCCCGUCGCCCCCCCCGUCGGCGCUGCCCACGGCGAGCCCCCUCCCCGCCAACGACUCGCAGUGCGGGGAGCAGAUCCUCAGCUACGGCAGCGCGGAGAAAGUUCUCAUCGGGGCCGUGCUCUGCCUCAUCACCCUGCUGACCAUCGCCGGCAACUGCCUGGUGGUGAUCUCCGUCUGCUUCGUGAAGAAGCUGCGGCAGCCCUCCAACUAUCUCAUCGUCUCGCUGGCCCUGGCCGAUCUCUCGGUGGCCCUGGCCGUCAUGCCCUUCGUCAGCGUCACCGACCUUAUCGGCGGGGAGUGGAUCUUCGGGCGCCUCUUCUGCAACGUCUUCAUCGCCAUGGAUGUCAUGUGCUGCACGGCCUCCAUCAUGACCCUCUGUGUGAUAAGUAUCGACAGGUACCUGGGAAUAACAAGACCCCUUACGUACCCUGUAAGGCAGAAUGGGAGGUGUAUGGCCAAAAUGAUCCUGUGUGUCUGGCUUCUGUCUGCCUCCAUCACCUUACCCCCGCUCUUCGGCUGGGCCCAGAACGUGAAUGACGAAAAGGUUUGUCUCAUCAGUCAAGACUUUGGCUACACCAUUUACUCUACAGCAGUUGCAUUUUAUAUUCCAAUGUCAGUGAUGCUUUUCAUGUACUAUCAGAUUUAUAAAGCUGCCAGGAGGAGUGCUGCUAAACACAAGUUUACUGGUUUUCCCCGUCUGGAAGAAAUGGAAGGGAUUUCUGUGAAUGGACUUGUAAAACUGCACAAGGAAUCUGAAGAAUGUACUAAUUUUUCACGACUCCUAAAGCAUGACAAGAGAAACAUUUCCAUCUUUAAAAGAGAACAGAAAGCUGCCACCACCCUUGGGAUUAUUGUUGGGGCAUUCACAGUCUGCUGGCUGCCCUUUUUCCUCCUCUCAACUGCAAGGCCCUUCAUCUGUGGUACAGCGUGCAGCUGCAUCCCACUCUGGGUGGAGAGAACAUUUCUGUGGCUGGGCUAUGCAAACUCUCUCAUUAACCCUUUUAUCUAUGCCUUCUUCAACCGGGACCUGAGGACAACCUAUCGCAACCUGCUGCAAUGCAGAUACAGGAACAUCAACCGCAAGCUCUCGGCCGCAGGCAUGCACGAGGCUCUGAAGCUUGCAGAAAAGCCAGAAUUCGUUCUGUAAGGUCACUCAUCCUCUACUGUGAUCGUUUGUUGUUUUAUCACAUUGCCUUUUCCCCCACAGGUUCGAAAGAAGUGUUGUAGGAAGAACCAGUUGAGCACAGUUAAUGCAGUCAUUGGGAAACAAGGUAGAGCCCACCAGACCUAAUCAGCCUGGAAAAACAAGACCACCUUCUAAAGAAUUUGGGUGUAAGAGGUAUAUAAAAAAGGAUGGAAAUGAAAUGUAGCACAGGAUGCUUGACCUGUAAGUGAGGAAAAAGCAAAGUUGGCCUAAUCCAUUUGUUUGGCCCAAAAAAUGUUUAGUAGGUCUGAAUGUUGGAUGCACCUUGUGUCCCAGAGAUUCUUUGCUGUAAUAAAGACCUGAGAAUGGUGAAAAGUUAAUUUCCUUCCACUUCAGUAUUACAAAAAUAAAUCAUUAAAGAAGACGCUGAAUCAAAGAACUUCUAUUCCUUAGAAAUAUUCUUUAUUAUAAAACCCCAUACGUUCAUUAAACAUUAAUUUACUGGAUUGCCUGGAAAUGAACUAUGUUGUGAAAUUUGUGAAUAUUGCCUUUGCACAGCAACUCUGGCACUGAAAGAAAAUGUUACAUUUCCAAUGUGAUUAAAAAAGUUUGAGGAAAGUCACAUGGACCAGCAUCUGCUGCUGCAUACAGCCCUGCAGCACAGUUAGCUGCAGUGCUGCUGUGCAAACCACACCAGGUAAUCUUGUACUGUAUUUCUAACAUAAAAAAUGUGUCUGAUUACAGUUUAUUUCAGGAUCUGGCUGAUCUUUGUCCAUCUCUUCAUUCUUUAAUUCUCUUGGCUUUCUCAGCUGAGUACUUCUCUAAUCUAGAUGGAGACUGUCUGUGCACAAGUAAUUUCUGUGAUGUAUGGCUAGUCCUUGUUCCACUUCAGUAGUUAAUUUACUGUCUAUUUGAAAGCUCUUCUACUUUCUGGGACUUCUUUCUCUUCUGAAGUCAGUAAAGAAAAACAUAAGACCUUAUAACUUCAGAGACAUCUGGACUUUAUCCUUAAAAACUGAUUUUAAUCAUCACUUGUGCUUAAAGUGAUUUAAAGCCUUGCCGUGUGUACAAAUAAAGAUAAUUUACUUUUCUGGUUCUAGCUUUUUCUACCAUCAUUGCAGUUUGUCCAAGUAUGUGAUCGUACUUCUCCUGACUUUGCUAAGGCCUCUUCUGUCAGUGUAGCAGGGCCAAAUAGUUCAACAAUUUUUAUUAAAAAUUAAUAUUAAUCAUAUUGGUUAUAUUAAUAUAUUACUAAUAAUGUAUUAGUAUAACAUGCAAUGAUUUUGAAGGAUCUAUUAUAAGAUAGAUAUAAGAUAUAAUAAUAUAAUAUAUUAUCUCUAUUAUUUUAAGAGCUAUUAUAAUGGCUUAAAAUAAUAAUAAAACAACUCAUAAGAUCAAGAUGAGUUCUUUGGCCCAAGUUUGCACUGCACACCAUGUUCCAGCUGAAGCAGAGGACAAGGGUAUAUAACUGAACAGAGACUUCAAGCUGCAGAGCUUUAUCUACUUUUUCAGGUAUUGGAACAUCAGUGAGGAGACGUGUUCAUCAUCAAAUUGCCUCAGCACUAAGUCCCACUUUGGGCUGACUUCUGUCCCUGCUUUCUCACGUCUGAAGGCAAAAUGACUUCAGUGAGCUCAGGGAUGCUCGUUCGGGCCAAGCAGGGGGCACUCAGUGCCAGACCCCUUGUUCCAAGCACACAGAUGUAACUGCAAACCCUUGGGCCUCUAGCUGGCACAUGGCCAGGGCUGAUGUGCUGAGCCAUGUGUACUGAAACAUGCUAAAGCAAUUUUAGAUGCAUUCCUACACUGCAGAAGGGAGUACAUUUUGGCCUCAUUUUCAGAACAGAAUUGUGGAGUAAGAGGCUGUAUUCCAUUUUCAAAACAGUUUUCUAAAGAAGUUUCAAACUGAUUUGAGACAGUCCUAUUUCUUUUAAGUGUUCCAAUAUUAUUCACAGGGACAAGAAGAGAUUUGGGCCCAGAAGAUCCACAAGCUCUGGAGUACAGAGUUAACUCAAGCAUAUUUUCCAUAUUAAACAUGAAACGAUUGUUAUUUAUUUAUUACUUAUCAGAGUAGCUUUUUUGUUCCUGUGUUUGUUUCCAGCAUAAAUGAGAAGUUUCCAUGGCCUCCUGUAAGUUUUUUUUUUUCCUAUAUGAGGACAUACAUGGGAAUAUACAAAUGUAUCUGGGAAGACUCCAAGUGGGACUGUAAAACUCUGAAGGUGAUUUUAGAAUCUGGACAGAAGUUUCAGCAUUUUUAUUCUGAAGGAACGCCUGAGAAGCUGUGUUUCCUCCAAACACAGCUCCUUUUUUCCCUUUUCCUCUUUUUUUUUUUUUUUUUUUAAUGGAAUAUGUGCCUUGUGAGUCAGAAAUUGACAUUUGCCCAGCUGUCACUAAAGGCAAAUGUUUUCCUCUGGGAAAACAUCCUGCAGGAGUCCAGCUUUCCUCUACCAUCUGUUUCAGGAGAAGUUCUGAUUUCUCCAGGGAAAAAGAGUCAUGACCAAAUGUGCUUCAAAGCAGCCAGAAAAAGUCAAGCCAGACCAGGGAGAAGGAAAAUGAAGAAUUGGCUUCCGAAGAACUGGAUAGAUUUAUAAAAUGUACUUCAUCUUCCUUUGAUGGGAGUGUGCUAAAAAUAUUCCGUGAGCUCAAUACAUUACAUUGGAUAGAUUUCUAUUGGAAGUACUCACAUCUUGUUUGUUAUGGAGGAAAAUGCUGUUACAUACAAAUGAAAAUAGCUUUCUGCCUGAGAAAGCCAAAUAAUUUCAGCAAUAAGUUUGACAUGGGGUGGAGGGAAUGCCACUAAAACUUAAAAAUAAUGCCUCGUACAGAUUUCCACCACAUUUAACUAUGUAGAAGAACAUUUGUGUGUUUACCAUGCUUGUGGAUCCCAGUAUUGGUAUUCAUAUUCAGGGACUGUCAGUGAUACUGAAUGUAUUUUGCUGUACUAAAAAAGAGAGGUUUUCAGGCAAAUGUUGUCUCUGUGGAUGCUUUCAGAGCUUGUGUUAAAGAGAUGCUGUACACCUGCAAUGGGAUUGAGAAUGACAACAAUAAAAAACCAAUUUUUGUUAAAGAUUUCUGUUGCAUUAAGUAAAUGUCUGUUACUUGUUACAUACAUGUGGUUGGUUCUCCCAAACUUUUGUAAAAAGCUGCUUUCAGUUAUGCAGUGAGGAAAGUUAAGGGACAAAAUUAGAAUGCACAUGUAUUACACCACAGCUAAUUUACAAAUAUGAUUGCUUUGCUUUAAUGUAAUUUUCAUGACCUGCCAAUUUAUAAAUUUCUGUCACUUCAAUUCAAAUAUGUAUAAAAGGCUGGAGAAUUUCCACAGCACUUUGCUUUUUGUCUUACUGGCUAGCUAGAGAGAGAAUUAAUUUUUUUUUCUGCAAAUGUG